rnacentral:tRNA from 1 species
GAUUCUAUGGUAUAGUGAUUAGCAUUCUGGACUCCGGAUUCAGCAACCUGUGUUCGACUCCUAGUAGGAACG